AUGAACGCUAGCUACAGGCUUAACACAUGCAAGUCGAGGGGCAGCAUUUUAGUUUGCUUGCAAACUGAAGAUGGCGACCGGCGCACGGAUGAGUAACACGUAUCCAACCUGCCGAUAACUCCGGAAUAGCCUUUCGAAAGAAAGAUUAAUACCGGAUGGCAUACGAAUAUCGCAUGAUAUUUUUAUUAAAGAAUUUCGGUUAUCGAUGGGGAUGCGUUCCAUUAGUUUGUUGGCGGGGUAACGGCCCACCAAGACUACGAUGGAUAGGGGUUCUGAGAGGAAGGUCCCCCACAUUGGAACUGAGACACGGUCCAAACUCCUACGGGAGGCAGCAGUGAGGAAUAUUGGUCAAUGGGCGCGAGCCUGAACCAGCCAAGUAGCGUGAAGGAUGAAGGCUCUAUGGGUCGUAAACUUCUUUUAUAUGGGAAUAAAGUUUUCCACGUGUGGAAUUUUGUAUGUACCAUAUGAAUAAGGAUCGGCUAACUCCGUGCCAGCAGCCGCGGUAAUACGGAGGAUCCGAGCGUUAUCCGGAUUUAUUGGGUUUAAAGGGAGCGUAGGUGGAUUGUUAAGUCAGUUGUGAAAGUUUGCGGCUCAACCGUAAAAUUGCAGUUGAAACUGGGAGUCUUGAGUACAGUAGAGGUGGGCGGAAUUCGUGGUGUAGCGGUGAAAUGCUUAGAUAUCACGAAGAACUCCGAUUGCGAAGGCAGCUCACUAGACUGUCACUGACACUGAUGCUCGAAAGUGUGGGUAUCAAACAGGAUUAGAUACCCUGGUAGUCCACACAGUAAACGAUGAAUACUCGCUGUUUGCGAUAUACAGUAAGCGGCCAAGCGAAAGCAUUAAGUAUUCCACCUGGGGAGUACGCCGGCAACGGUGAAACUCAAAGGAAUUGACGGGGGCCCGCACAAGCGGAGGAACAUGUGGUUUAAUUCGAUGAUACGCGAGGAACCUUACCCGGGCUUAAAUUGCAACAGAAUAUAUUGGAAACAGUAUAGCCGUAAGGCUGUUGUGAAGGUGCUGCAUGGUUGUCGUCAGCUCGUGCCGUGAGGUGUCGGCUUAAGUGCCAUAACGAGCGCAACCCUUAUCUUUAGUUACUAACAGGUUAUGCUGAGGACUCUAGAGAGACUGCCGUCGUAAGAUGUGAGGAAGGUGGGGAUGACGUCAAAUCAGCACGGCCCUUACGUCCGGGGCUACACACGUGUUACAAUGGGGGGUACAGAAGGCGGCUACCUGGUGACAGGAUGCUAAUCCCAAAAACCUCUCUCAGUUCGGAUCGAAGUCUGCAACCCGACUUCGUGAAGCUGGAUUCGCUAGUAAUCGCGCAUCAGCCAUGGCGCGGUGAAUACGUUCCCGGGCCUUGUACACACCGCCCGUCAAGCCAUGAAAGCCGGGGGUACCUGAAGUACGUAACCGCAAGGAGCGUCCUAGGGUAAAACUGGUAAUUGGGGCU
rnacentral:rRNA from 1 species